GGUGAGUAACACGUGGAUAACCUACCUAUAAGACUGGGAUAACUUCGGGAAACCGGAGCUAAUACCGGAUAAUAUUUUGAACCGCAUGGUUCAAAAGUGAAAGACGGUCUUGCUGUCACUUAUAGAUGGAUCCGCGCUGCAUUAGCUAGUUGGUAAGGUAACGGCUUACCAAGGCAACGAUGCAUAGCCGACCUGAGAGGGUGAUCGGCCACACUGGAACUGAGACACGGUCCAGACUCCUACGGGAGGCAGCAGUAGGGAAUCUUCCGCAAUGGGCGAAAGCCUGACGGAGCAACGCCGCGUGAGUGAUGAAGGUCUUCGGAUCGUAAAACUCUGUUAUUAGGGAAGAACAUAUGUGUAAGUAACUGUGCACAUCUUGACGGUACCUAAUCAGAAAGCCACGGCUAACUACGUGCCAGCAGCCGCGGUAAUACGUAGGUGGCAAGCGUUAUCCGGAAUUAUUGGGCGUAAAGCGCGCGUAGGCGGUUUUUUAAGUCUGAUGUGAAAGCCCACGGCUCAACCGUGGAGGGUCAUUGGAAACUGGAAAACUUGAGUGCAGAAGAGGAAAGUGGAAUUCCAUGUGUAGCGGUGAAAUGCGCAGAGAUAUGGAGGAACACCAGUGGCGAAGGCGACUUUCUGGUCUGUAACUGACGCUGAUGUGCGAAAGCGUGGGGAUCAAACAGGAUUAGAUACCCUGGUAGUCCACGCCGUAAACGAUGAGUGCUAAGUGUUAGGGGGUUUCCGCCCCUUAGUGCUGCAGCUAACGCAUUAAGCACUCCGCCUGGGGAGUACGACCGCAAGGUUGAAACUCAAAGGAAUUGACGGGGACCCGCACAAGCGGUGGAGCAUGUGGUUUAAUUCGAAGCAACGCGAAGAACCUUACCAAAUCUUGACAUCCUUUGACAACUCUAGAGAUAGAGCCUUCCCCUUCGGGGGACAAAGUGACAGGUGGUGCAUGGUUGUCGUCAGCUCGUGUCGUGAGAUGUUGGGUUAAGUCCCGCAACGAGCGCAACCCUUAAGCUUAGUUGCCAUCAUUAAGUUGGGCACUCUAAGUUGACUGCCGGUGACAAACCGGAGGAAGGUGGGGAUGACGUCAAAUCAUCAUGCCCCUUAUGAUUUGGGCUACACACGUGCUACAAUGGACAAUACAAAGGGCAGCGAAACCGCGAGGUCAAGCAAAUCCCAUAAAGUUGUUCUCAGUUCGGAUUGUAGUCUGCAACUCGACUACAUGAAGCUGGAAUCGCUAGUAAUCGUAGAUCAGCA
rnacentral:rRNA from 1 species